AGCGAACGCUGGCGGCAGGCCUAACACAUGCAAGUCGAGCGCCGUAGCAAUACGGAGCAGCAGACGGGAGAGUAACACGUGGGAACGUACCCUUCAGUUCGGAACAACCCAGGGAAACUUGGGCUAAUACCGGAUACGUCCGUAAGGAGAAAGAUUUAUCGCUGAAGGAUCGGCCCGCGUCUGAUUAGCUAGUUGGUGGGGUAACGGCCCACCAAGGCGACGAUCAGUAGCUGGUCUGAGAGGAUGAUCAGCCUCACUGGGACUGAGACACGGCCCAGACUCCUACGGGAGGCAGCAGUGGGGAAUAUUGGACAAUGGGCGCAAGCCUGAUCCAGCCAUGCCGCGUGGAUGAUGAAGGCCUUAGGGUUGUAAAGCUCUUUUAGCAGGGAAGAUAAUGACGGUACCUGCAGAAAAAGCCCCGGCUAACUUCGUGCCAGCCGCCGCCGUAAUAC
rnacentral:rRNA from 1 species